GUCUUACUGCACUGAUCCAAACCUAGUGUUAGAUUUGAAGAAUCUCAUUGUGCUUUUUGCUGAUACACUUCAGGUGUAUGGUUUUCCUGUAAACCAGCUUUUUGACAUGCUGUUAGAAAUCAGAGACCAGUAUAGCGAAACUCUGCUAAAGAAGUGGGCAGGUAUUUUCAGAAACAUACUUGAUUUGGACAACUACAGUCCCAUACCAGUAACAAGUGAAGAGAUGUAUAAAAAGGUAGUAGGACAAUUCCCAUUCCAAGAUAUAGAGCUGGAAAAGCAACCAUUUCCAAAAAAGUUUCCUUUCUCUGAAUUUGUGCCAAAAGUAUAUAACCAAAUUAAGGAAUUU